GGCAGGACUGAGAAGACGAGAGGUGGGCUUCGUUCCUGAGAAUAUCCAGGAGUCCAAGAGAUCUAAAUUGGAAGAUGGCCUUCCAAUUUAGGUCAGUUUCCAAUUAAGAAGGCCAGGUUUUUAUGAAGCAAUAUUUGUCAAGAAUUCAACUAUCAACUUGCUGGUCCUCUACUUCCCGAAACUCUCCAGCCUACAUUUCUUCCUCUUCUUCGGUUUCUAAACUCAAACUGACUUUGGAAUGAAAGGGAGCAGCUGCUGAGACAAUGGAAAUUUCACUGGGAAUAGCAAUGUUUCUUGGAUCGGCCAUGAUUACCUCAGUGCAAUUAUACUGCUAUUCAGCCGACCACAUCCUCAUAAAGCCAGGUCACUUGAAACAAUGUCUGUCUGGGCAUGGACAUUCACUUUUGCAGAUGAGGAAACAAGAAUUCAGAGUUGAUUUGCACAUACGAAGCAAAACAAGUGAGAUCCAAGCCUCCAGACUCUACAACAGAUGCUUCCAAUAUCUAUGUCUAAUGAAGUAAACUACUCUGAAAAUCAAAAUGUGUAUUUUUUAAAUUAAUAAAAACUUUCUUUCUACCUCA
rnacentral:lncRNA from 1 species